AUCCUAUAAAAAUCCUGCCGAGUUACACGCCAGAAAGAAAGUAGUAAGAUCUGCACACAAAUAUUUUAACGUUUUCAAGAAAAUAAAUUCUGUAAAGGGUCAAGAGAGUGCAGAAAUCUAUGCAGCAGACAGAGGAUCAAGAAAUAUACACAUUUGUUAAGGAAAACGAUGUCUUGAGCCGGCUGCCAACAUCCCAGCAUACAAAGCGCAGCACAUAAAGGGUCAAGAAAUAUACACAUUUUAUUAAGAAAAACGAUGCCUCUCACACUGAUUGCCUACAUCCCAGUAUACGAAGCAUUGCACACUAUACCCAGACCUCAAAAAGGGAUCCUACCAACUGAAACACGUGAAUAUCUCCAGUGGAAUACAAGAUUGCCUCUCAAAUGAACUCUAU
rnacentral:lncRNA from 1 species